rnacentral:tRNA from 1 species
ACCUGGCUGGCUCAGUCGGUAGAGCAAGGGACUUUUGAUCUCAGGGUUGUGAGUUUGAGGUCCAUGUUGGGUA